CUUCGGUUACGAUCGGUGACAGGUGGUGCAUGGUUGUCGUCAGCUCGUGUCGUGAGAUGUUGGGUUAAGUCCCGCAACGAGCGCAACCCCUAUUGUUAGUUGCCAUCAUUCAGUUGGGCACUCUAGCGAGACUGCCGGUAAUAAACCGGAGGAAGGUGGGGAUGACGUCAAAUCAUCAUGCCCCUUAUGACCUGGGCUACACACGUGCUACAAUGGUUGGUACAACGAGUUGCGAGUCGGUGACGGCGAGCUAAUCUCUUAAAGCCAAUCUCAGUUCGGAUUGUAGGCUGCAACUCGCCUACAUGAAGUCGGAAUCGCUAGUAAUCGCGGAUCAGCACGCCGCGGUGAAUACGUUCCCGGGCCUU
rnacentral:rRNA from 1 species